rnacentral:rRNA from 1 species
CGUAGGCGCAAGCGUUGUCCGGAAUUAUUGGGAGUAAGAGCUCGUAGGCGGUUUGUCGCGUCUGCUGUGAAAGCCCGGGGCUUAACCCCGGGUGUGCAGUGGGUACGGGCAGACUUGAGUGCAGUAGGGAGGACUGGAAUUCCUGGUGUAGCGGUGAAUACGCAGAUAUCAGGAGGAACACCGAUGGCGAAGGCAGGUCUCUGGGCUGUUACUGACGCUGAGGAGCGAAAGCAUGGGGAGCGAACAGGAUU